UAGUAACACGUGGAUAACCUACCUAUAAGACUGGGAUAACUUCGGGAAACCGGAGCUAAUACCGGAUAAUAUUUUGAACCGCAUGGUUCAAAAGUGAAAGACGGUCUUGCUGUCACUUAUAGAUGGAUCCGCGCUGCAUUAGCUAGUUGGUAAGGUAACGGCUUACCAAGGCAACGAUGCAUAGCCGACCUGAGAGGGUGAUCGGCCACACUGGAACUGAGACACGGUCCAG
rnacentral:rRNA from 1 species